rnacentral:rRNA from 1 species
UACGGAGGGUGCAAGCGUUGUCCGGAUUCAUUGGGUUUAAAGGGUGCGUAGGCGGGUUUAUAAGUCAGUGGUGAAAGCUCAGGGCUCAACUCUGGAUGUGCCAUUGAUACUGUAGAUCUUGAGAGCAGAUGAGGUAGCUGGAAUGUGUAGUGUAGCGGUGAAAUGCAUAGAGAUUACACAGAACACCAAUUGCGAAGGCAGGUUACUAGUCUGUAUCUGACGCUGAUGCACGAAAGUGUGGGGAGCGAACAGG